rnacentral:rRNA from 1 species
CUGCUAUCGGAUUGAUACUAAGCCAUGCGAGUCUUUGUAGUAAUACAAGGCAGACGGCUCAGUAACACGUAGUCAACCUACCCUAUGGACAAGAAUAAUCUCGGGAAACUGGGCAUAAUUCUUGAUAGAUCAUAAUGCCUGGAAUGGUUUAUGGUUAAAAUGAUUCGUCGCCAUAGGAUGGGACUGCGGCCUAUCAGCUUGUUGGUGAGGUAAUGGCCCACCAAGGCGAUUACAGGUACGGGCUCUGAGAGGAGAAGCCCGGAGAUGGGUACUGAGACACGGACCCAGGCCCUAUGGGGCGCAGCAGGCGAGAAAACUUUGCAAUGUGCGAAAGCACGACAAGGUUAAUCCGAGUGAUUUCUGCUAAAGAAAUCUUUUGCCAGUCACAAAACCACUGGUGAAUAAGGGGUGGGCAAGUUCUGGUGUCAGCCGCCGCGGUAAAACCAGCACCUCAAGUGGUCAGGAUGAUUAUUGGGCCUAAAGCAUCCGUAGCCGGCUUUGUAAGUUUUCGGUUAAAUCCAUGUGCUCAACGCAUGGGCUGCCGAAAAUACUGCAUGGCUAGGGAGUGGGAGAGGUAGACGGUACUCAGUAGGAAGGGGUAAAAUCCUUUGAUCUAUUGAUGACCACCUGUGGCGAAGGCGGUCUACCAGAACACGUUCGACGGUGAGGGAUGAAAGCUGGGGGAGCAAACCGGAUUAGAUACCCGGGUAGUCCCAGCUGUAAACGAUGCAGACUCGAUGAUGCAUUGGCAUAAUAGCCAGUGCAGUGUCGCAGGGAAACCGUUAAGUCUGCCGCCUGGGAAGUACGUACGCAAGUAUGAAACUUAAAGGAAUUGGCGGGGAGCACACAAGGGUGAAGCCUGCGGU